UUGACCUCGGAUCAGGUAGGACUACCCGCUGAACUUAAGCAUAUCAAUAAGCGGAGGAAAAGAAACCAACAGGGAUUGCCCCAGUAACGGCGAGUGAAGCGGCAACAGCUCAGAUUUGGAAUCUGGCCCCUAGGGCCCGAGUUGUAAUCUGGAGAGGAUGUUUCUGGCGCGGCGCCUUCCGAGUUCCCUGGAACGGGACGCCGGAGAGGGUGAGAGCCCCGUACGGUUGGACGCCUAGCCUUUGUGAAGCUCCUUCGACGAGUCGAGUAGUUUGGGAAUGCUGCUCAAAAUGGGAGGUAAAUUUCUUCUAAAGCUAAAUACCGGCCAGAGACCGAUAGCGCACAAGUAGAGUGAUCGAAAGAUGAAAAGCACUUUGAAAAGAGGGUCAAACAGUACGUGAAAUUGUUGAAAGGGAAGCGCCCGUGGCCAGACUUGUACCCCGCGGACCAUCCGGCGCCCUCAGCGCCGGUGCACUCCGUGGGGCGCAGGCCAGCAUCGGUUUUCCCAGGGGGAUAAAGGCGGCGGGAACGUGGCUCCCUCGGGAGUGUUAUAGCCCGCCGCGCCAUGCCCCUGGGGGGACCGAGGACCGCGCUUCGGCAAGGAUGCUGGCGUAAUGGCCACCGGCGACCCGUCUUGAAACACGGACCAAGGAGUCAAGCAUUGGGGCGAGUGUCUGGGUGCCAAACCCGCACGCGAAAUGAAAGUGAACGCAGGUGAGAGCUUCGGCGCAUCAUCGACCGAUCCUGAUGUUCUCGGAUGGAUUUGAGUAAGAGCCUUACCGCUUGGACCCGAAAGAUGGUGAACUAUGCCUGUAUAGGGUGAAGCCAGAGGAAACUCUGGUGGAGGCUCGCAGCGGUUCUGACGUGCAAAUCGAUCGUCAAAUAUGGGCAUGGGGGCGAAAGACUAAUCGAACCAUCUAGUAGCUGGUUACCGCCG
rnacentral:rRNA from 1 species